UGGCUCAGGGGGUUAAGAACCCAACUAGUAUCCAUAAGGUUGCAGGUUCCAUCCGUGGCCUCGCUCUGUGGGUUAAGGGUCUGGCAUGGCUAUGAGCUGCCAUGUGGGUUGUGAAUCCUGGCAACCUCCAUAUGCCAGGUGCGGCCCUAAAAAGACCAAAAUAAAAUAAAAUAAAAGGCCUCUGUUGGACUAAAAGGAUAUUUUCAGUUUCAGAUGGCACCGACCACACCCCCCUAUUUCCCCAGGAAAGUUUCAGCUAUCGGAAACUCUCAGGAAAGGAGCUGGGUGUUCCUGAUAAGGAAGUUUUAACCAAAUCAUGUACAUUUUUCUAGAGUGUUUUCUAGAAUAGUAGCUAACAUGGUGGGGGGGGGAGGUUUGCCUUGUUCUAGAAACUUUGUUAAAGGUUUUCUGAACGUCUCAUUUAAUCCUAAGAAAAAAGAAAUACUUCCCUGCCUUGAUUUCCUGAGAGAUCUUUGUACAUAUCAGCUGUUACGAGUCUUCUCCCUCUGGAUGUCAGCUCUGUGAGAAUGCCGUUCUCAUUUAGCUUACCACUAUUUAUUGAGGGAUUAUUAUGUGCCAGAUAUGCGGCAAUGAGUAAAAACAAACUUCCUGCCUUCUGCAUGGGAGGACCCUGACAAUAAUGUUUAAGUAUACAACUAGAAUAUAACAGCAGGUAAAGAAUACAAACAAAAAAGGUAGGAUACAGGAGCAGGCAGUGGGGAUGGGGAGCGUGAGGUGGGGAGGCCUUUGAUGGGAUGACAUUUGAGCAGAGACCUGCAUGAAUCAUGGGAACAGGCCUUGCAGAUAUUUGGCAAAAGAGCCCGUUACUUCUGCCCUUCCCUCUUCUGCUUUUUGUCAUUUUCUGUCUCCUCUUGCCUUGAGCCAGACCAAGAAGUCCAGAUCUAGAGAGGAGACAGAGCUGCAAGUGUGAAGCAGGGGAGGCAGAGGGCUUUUGCUGCAGCUGCGGGGGCAGGUCUGGACAUGCGGGUCACACCACGUGGGAAAGUGUGGCGGCUGCUUUGAUCAGCCGAGCUCGCCGGCAAUCAGAGGACCAGCCAGCCCUGGGCAGUGGGACACGCAGCCGCAGGAGAAGCGUCCAAGAGGAGUCUGGCGACCAGCAUAAGCAGAAUACAGGCUGGAUUGGGGGUGUUGUCGGCAUGGGGCAGAGAAACCAAGACCACAGGUGGCACGGCUCGUAGGGCUCAGAACAGAAUCUGGCUCUCCAAGAAGAUGGGUCAGAGCAGGGCUGGAGACCAGAAGCAGAAACUGUGGUUUGAGAGAGCACCUUGAAAAAAAGAAAAAAAGUGUCUGGAGCACUGAGAUGCAGAUUUGAUCCUGGCCUGACACCGCGGGUUAGGAUCUCGUGUUGCUGUAGCUUUGGCGUGGGUCACCACUGCGUCUUGGGUCUGAUCCCUGGCCUGGGAACUCCACAUGCCACAGGGCGGCCAAAAAAGAAGAAGAAAAAAGAGAUGCCCCACCCUCCACCCCCAUCCCUGGAUUUUGGGGAAGCAAAUGCCAGACAACAUAUUAUUCCACAUGGAAUUAUUGCAGUCAUUACAGUAAACUAUGAAUUGAUUGCAAACUCUAUAUGAACCAUGUGCAAAAAAGAGCUGGCAAUGGGUUGGGGUCACGGGGAGACCCUUUUAAAGCAAGCCUUGAAGGAUGGAUAUGGAUUUUGGCAAAGAACAUUUGUAAAUGGGAAGCUGUAAGCCAUGUGAGCCGCACGGGGUCUGCAGAUUGUUUUUGCUCGAACCCCUGUCAGGAUGGGGAGAGGGAACUCGAGGGAAAACCUAGGUGUGGAACAGAGGGGGGCCAGCCCCCUGAUGCCUUUUAGGAGGAGGGAUGGGCUGGGGGAUCUUUUAGUUUUAGGUAACAUUGUGCUCCUCUGAAAGUCUGCACUCACAGUUGUGAAAUGAGGCGAGGACAUUAGUAAUACUGAUUUUGUGCCCUUCGGCUGUCUCUCAAAGCAUUUUCCUUCGUAACCCAUUUCUCCUUUUACAGGGAAAGAAAUUGUCACAGCACCUUUAAAGAAACUGGCUCCUGUACCAACUGCCAGGUUUUAGUCAGGGAGAAACGGGAACUCAGUUUUCCAUGCUCAGCCCUGCACUGAGGUGACCUGGCAACUGUGCAUUUUAUCCCACUGGGUUUAAUCCUUAUUAUGAAUAACAGAGCGAAGCUUUGUUAUUCACCAGAAUGGAUUUCUGCUGCUGGGAGAAUUAGCUGCAGUCUUAUUCGCAAGGAACCUUCUGAUGCAAUGAGGUCUUUUGAACCGUGCAUAAAUAAAUAGAGGCUAUUGUUUAGGCUUUUGGAGGUAAGGCUUAAAACUGCUCCAGAAGUUCCAGUCAGACUUCAAGUAUCUUUGUUUGGCUGAUUUUUUUUUUUUUUUUUUCUAGUAGUAGUUUUCUCCAUAUUGCUUUAGCAGCCUGACUCUUCGUCAACUCCUAAAACUAGGGCACAACCAACCCUUUAUCUGGAGACUUUUAUGCUUAGAGAGGACGAAAUUCUGGGU
ensembl:lncRNA